UGAACUGAGCACCUGGCAACGAAGUCUCCUGUUUCUGAGAAUACAAUUGCUCUGUCCUCGUUUGUUCUUGGUGCUGAGGCCAUUCUUGGUGUGUUGACAAAUUAUAUGAGAUACACCAGCAACAGCAUCCACCAAAAUGGAAUUCUGAACCAAAGAUGAGCCGAGAAGAGAGUUUUCAGAUGCCUGGCCAUCUCCUUUAGGUUUCUUAGCAGCCUGCUGAUUAGCCUGUGCAAGAACAUAUGAAACAAGUGCUGCCAAUAAGGAAGUAAAUGCAAACAGUACAUUCAACAGAAGAUUCCCUUUUGCUUUCAAAGGAAUUCUCUGCCAGUGAUGGGGAAAAUGCCCUUGUGCAUUCAGUGGAUAUUGGAAUACAACGUAAAAUUAAAGUCAGGAUUAUACAUGC